rnacentral:tRNA from 1 species
GGAAGGGUGGCUGAGCGGUCCAAAGCGACGGGUUGCUAACCCGUGGGGGCUUGUCCCCCUCGUGGGUUCGAAUCCCACCCCUUCCG